rnacentral:misc_RNA from 1 species
GCGACGCCUCCUUUACCUUCUCUAACUCUAGUUAGUCGCGCUUUGCGCUCUUUCGAUUAACGACCCUUCUUAUUCCUUUUAUUAUAAUAUAUUAAUAUCGAAACUUCAGAGGAGUUUAUUAAAUAAUUAAAUCCGUUAAUCGUGAAUGAAUUAAUUUAAAUGCUGGUUUGUGCGUGAAGGGUGAAAUUUGGAAAGUACUGGAAGUUUGACUGGUUCACACAUUUAAAAACCAACAUGUGGAGAACUCAAUUAAGGCAACCGAAGCAUCGAACGAAUUAAGUCUCACAGAUUGAAUGUUCUAUUACAUAUUUGCACACCUGUUAAAAGAAGAGAGCAAAAUGGAGUCUGAAAUUCAUCGAUUCGACAACAAUACCUUAAACGAGGUCCUCAAUAGGAGCAACGAAGUCGACCCUAAACUUUACGAGAGAUACGUCAUGAAUAAGGCCAUUGACGAGCCCUUUUACUCGAUUCUAAUUGGAAUGUAUUGUCUCUUGAUCGUUAUGGGCGCUGUCGGCAACACACUUGUGAUAAUCGCCGUAUUUCGUAAACCGACGAUGCGCACUCCCAGGAAUAUGUUCAUCGUAAAUUUGGCGGUGGCCGAUUUGCUGCUUUGCACCGUCACGAUGCCACUCACCCUAAUGGAAAUCCUCACCAAAUACUUUCCGUUGGGAAACAACUUGUUCGUAUGCAAAACGAUCGGAAUCCUCCAGGCGACCAGUACCUACGUCUCGACCAUUUCCAUUACCGCGAUCGCCCUCGACAGAUAUCAAGUGAUUGUGUAUCCGACAAAGGAAAGUCUUCAAAUAUUCGGAGCAGCCUUUAUUCUCUUAUUAAUCUGGCUGGUGGCCUUGAUACUGGCCAUGCCGUUAUUCAUAGUGAGACAUUUGAAACAUCACGAUCUACCUGGACUGGAAAACGACAUUCUCAGUUUGGACUUUUGUAUCGAAAACUGGCCUAUAGUUCAUGGGAGGGCUUUUUAUUCCAUUUUUACGUUAAUUUUUCAGUAUACAGUACCUAUUAUUAUCGUUUCGGCCGCCUAUUACAGGAUAUCUUAUAAGCUGCGAUACAGAUUUCAAGCGGGUUUCGUUAGCACCGAAGACAAUCUACAAAAGAACAGACGGCAACUGCGUGGCAGGAGACUUCAGAAGACGAACAUUCUGCUUCUGUCUAUCGCGAUUAUUUUUUGCAUCAGCUGGUUACCUUUGAACCUGUUCAAUCUUAUUGCGGACUUGUAUCCGGAUUCGAAUAAAUUCACCAGUCAGAAAAUGAUGGUGGUGUACGCGAUCUGCCACAUGAUGGGCAUGUCAUCCGCCUGUUCCAACCCGAUCCUCUACGGUUGCCUGAACGAGAACUUCUGGAAGGAGUUCAAGGACAUCCUGUGCAUCGAAAAGGCCACCGAUGAGGUGGGUGCCACCACUCAAAAAAUCUCCCUACGAAAGAAAAACAACAAGGGAACCCUCUUAAAGCCGGAAAUGAUCACAGAUGCCACCAACUAUCAACAGUGUAACACGGUGAGCUCCGAUUUGACGGUCUUGACGAAGUGUUAGCGGUUAAAGAACAUUGCUGCUGCCCGGAAUCAAUUGGCCAGUAGUAGUGGGAGGAAUAAUGUGAUGAACACUUUGGUGUAGAAAUGUGAUAUUGUGAAUGUGAUUGUGAUGGAGAUGUUCGAUGAUUAUUUGGUAUGAUGGUAGCAGAGUGUCGAUCUCUGCAAGACAGUUAUUUCAUUGAAUCAUUUUUUUUAUGAAAUUAACAAGCUCUACACAGAUGUAAAACCGAAUUUUGAGGUGUGAUAUCAGUCAUGUAGCCUGGUAAGAAAUUGAGGUAUUUAACGUGUUAGUGUACGUGCACACAGGAUGCGAUUAAGCGAUAAGCGAUGCGAUGCGAUUCAACGCGAUCUCGCGAGUCUGUUUGAUUUUCAAGCAAGUUUGAUUUUAAUUGUUUGGGUCCUCGUGCUGCUAGUUAUUGUCUAGUUAUAUUUGUCCAUAUUUCGUGUGGUAUGGAUGCAGAAAAAUUAAUAAAUGCAGUCCGAGUGCGUCUUCCACUAUGGGAUCAACAAAACAAAGGCUAUCGAGACGGGACAAAGUUGAGAAAUUAUGGCAGGAUGUAGCUGCAGAACUAGACGUUUCAAAAGAAGCUGCUAAAAAAAUCUUUACGAGAUGUCUUCAGAAAUGAGCUGAAGAAGUUGCCGAAACCUAAAUCUGGAGACCAAACUUCUUCAAACUUUAGUUCAAAGUGCACUUACUUUAAGAUUUUAUGGUUCCUUAAGGAUUAAAUGACUCCGAGACAGCUAACUGGCAACUUACCCACUGACGAUAACGCAAGGCAACUAAACGAAGAUCUUUUAUUUCCUGAUGAUAUCGACGAUGAGACAUCUGUUACUCCGGAUGAAAGAAUUGAAUCAGAACAACUGUUAUCUGACCACAAUAACUAAACUAUUGCAACUACUAGCUCAGAUAAAAAUGUACGUCAAGAGCCAACUGACUGUGGGCAUCCGCCAAAACGUCCUGCAAAAAGAGCAGCUAAAAGAAAAGAAGACUUUGAAAUUGACGUUCUUAAAGCAAAUAAUUCCGUUUUAUCGACACAAUCUCAAAUUACUCAGGAUGAUUAUUAUCACUUUCUUAUGAGUUUCCAUACACCGCUAAAAAAAUGCGUUUUGAAACAAAGAUGUGGUUUCGUCUCAAGAUGCAGGAACUGCUUUACCAAGCCACAGUGAACGAGUACCAUAUUGAAAAUAUAAGUUUUGCCAAUAAUAUGCCAACUCAUCAGCCACAAAUGACACACACUUUUGUGGCAACACCAUUGGGUUCACCCGCUUAUUCCACAGAAUCAAAUAGUUCUUACACAAUUCUCCCCUGAAGAAAAAAGACAUAUUUUAUACGUUUACAUUUCUAAAAUAACUGUAAUGAAUUUGAAAUAAAAUAUUUAAGUACUCACGUAUAUUUGAGCAUUUUUUUCUUACCUUAACGUUACGGCAAGGCGUUCUUUAACGCUGAUUGGAACCCUCCAGUUUGUUGUUAUUUUUCCACUAAUGGUGUCAUACCAUUUUCAAUAAGUAUGAAUGUUUCCAAAGACAUUCGGAUAUAUUCUCGAAAUUUGUCAGGAUAUAGGGUUAAUUCGGAGAAUAAAUGUUGAAAUUUCAUGUACCCAUUUCUUUUUUUUUACUUUUAAUUUUUUUAUAUAUUGUAAAAAUGAAUUUUUUAAUAAUAAUAAUUCCAUGGUAGCUGGAACUAACGCAGGCAGAGGUUUGAUUUACUACGCUUUUGUUUAUCGGCUUCUAUUAAAACACAACCAAAAUAUAGCAAGUAAUCAAAAGCAUAGCAUCUCAUAGCAAAGCUUAUCGCUUAAUCGCGUCCUGUGUGCACGUACACUAAAUCUAUUAAGAUUGCGACCAUUAAGAAAAUAUUUUGUGGUUUUAUGUACAGGGUUAUUUUUUAUGGUUGCCCCUCUGGGGUGCAUUGAGAAAAUCGAAAAGAGGUCAAUGAACUAUUAUUUUGAAUAUUAUUAUCCGAAUGUUAGCCCUAUUUUGUAAAUAUAAUAAAGUUCUAAUUAAUGUGAAUGUUAUUGAUGUUGCUGCUCUUUAAUUCUUUUUCACUGUUUUCACAUAAUAUAAUUACCUAACACCUUUUACGAACCUUUUUGUAAUUAAUUAAGUUAUGUUCUAUUUACAUGCACUAAUUAACACUUUUUUUUUGAAAAUUAUUUAAUAUAGUAAUUAAUUAUUAAAGUCUGAUUAUUUACUAAUGCUGCACGUUCUAUUAAACUUCUAUAUUAAAAUGGCUAAUUUUAUAUGUACCUUUAGAGAAAUAAUUAUUAUAUAACGGUCUUUGUAAAAUGAUAUAAAGUAUUAAAAGUAUUUGUCUGU